GCCCAUAUUUGCUGUGUGUCAUCAUGUUUUCUUUCAGCUGUGGUAGACUUCAUGCCAUGUGACUGUGACCACGCAUGACAAAGCCUGUGUCCCUUCCACCUUCACUGGACAGUGAGCCUAAACCCGUGUGAGCGGUUCUGCGUGUGGUUUCCAUUUGGUCCCAGUAGGCCGCUCAGAUGUUUUCUCAGCUGGAGAAAUCUUGAAAUACUAAGCCACUUCAGGCAGAGCCUUCACUUCCGUCCCAGCCAGACCCAGGAAACCGCUCCCUCGGACACCAGUGCAGAGCCUUGGAGGGUCAGGCGUCUGUUUGAUGCCCAGGAACAGUGAGCCCACCCUCUGUUCGUCUAAGCCAUGCUUCUCAGAAGAAGGAGUUGGCAUUGGACAGUGUCGCUUGUGUCCCGAUGGGCCGUCUGGCACCCUGUAGGACUUUU
rnacentral:lncRNA from 1 species